rnacentral:rRNA from 1 species
GAUGAACGCUGGCGGCGUGCUUAACACAUGCAAGUCGAACGGAAAGGCCCAAGCUUGCUUGGGUACUCGAGUGGCGAACGGGUGAGUAACACGUGGGUGAUCUGCCCGCACUUCGGGAUAAGCCUGGGAAACUGGGUCUAAUACCGGAUAGGACAGUGGUUUGGAUGCCAUUGUGGAAAGUUUUUUCGGUGUGGGAUGAGCUCGCGGCCUAUCAGCUUGUUGGUGGGGUAAUGGGCUACCAAGGCGUCGACGGGUAGCCGGCCUGAGAGGGUGUACGGCCACAUUGGGACUGAGAUACGGCCCAGACUCCUACGGGAGGCAGCAGUGGGGAAUAUUGCACAAUGGGCGCAAGCCUGAUGCAGCGACGCCGCGUGGGGGAUGACGGCCUUCGGGUUGUAAACUCCUUUCGCUAGGGACGAAGCGUUAUGUGACGGUACCUAGAGAAGAAGCACCGGCUAACUACGUG